CAGCACUAAGUGGGUGGUAAACUCCAUCUAAAACUAAAUAUAACCAUGAGACCGAUAGCAAACAAGUACCGUGAGGGAAAGUUGAAAAGAACUCUGAAUAGAGAGUUAAAUAGUACGUGAAACUGCUUAGAGGUUAAGCCCGAUGAACCUGAAUAUCCGUUGUAGAAAAUUCAUCAUCAAUUGUGUGAUAUUUUUUUUAAAUAUCGUAUCAAUGGUGUGCACUUUUUCUACUUAAGGACAUUGUAAUCCGUUAAUGUUUAAAUGCGUAUUAUAAGAACAUUUGCAAUAGUUUUUACAUUAUUUAACUUGUUAGAUUUUGUUUAAAUGUAAAUGCUUCGAAUAUGCCAUUGACGGAUUCUUACGUAUAUUGCACUUAAAUCUCUUUUGAUUUUAUAAUAAUAUGAUUAUCAUUGAUUUUUGUAUUUAUUAUAUGUGCAUAUAUGAUUGACAAUGCGAAAGAUUCAGGAUACCUUCGGGACCC
rnacentral:rRNA from 1 species